rnacentral:rRNA from 1 species
CUGAAAACUGAGCAGAUCGCUUCGGUCCUAGUACCGGCGACAUAUCUUUCAAGUGUCUGCCUUAUCAACUUUCGAUGGUAGUUUAUGUGACUACCAUGGUUGUAACGGGUAACGGAGAAUAAGGGUUCGACUCCGGAGAGGGAGCCUGAGAAACGGCUACCACUUCUAAGGAAGGCAGCAGGCGCGCAAAUUACCCACUCUCGGCACGAGGAGGUAGUGACGAAAAAUAACGAGACGGGUCUCUUACGAGGUCCGACAUCGGAAUGAGAACAAUGUAAACCCUUUAACGAGGACCUAGCGGAGGGCAAGUCUGGUGCCAGCAGCCGCGGUAAUUCCAGCUCCGCCAGUGUAUAUCUAUGCUGCUGCGGUUAAAAAG